rnacentral:rRNA from 1 species
CACUCCUGCGGGAGGCAGCAGUGGGGAAUUUUGGACAAUGGGCGAAAGCCUGAUCCAGCAAUGCCGCGUGAGUGAAGAAGGCCUUCGGGUUGUAAAGCUCUUUUGUCAGGGAAGAAACGGUGAAAGCUAAUAUCUUUUGCUAAUGACGGUACCUGAAGAAUAAGCACCGGCUAACUACGUGCCAGCAGCCGCGGUAAUACGUAGGGUGCAAGCGUUAAUCGGAAUUACUGGGCGUAAAGCGUGCGCAGGCGGUUUUGUAAGUCUGAUGUGAAAUCCCCGGGCUCAACCUGGGAAUUGUAUUGGAGACUGCAAGGCUAGAAUCUGGCAGAGGGGGGUAGAAUUCCACGUGUAGCAGUGAAAUGCGUAGAUAUGUGGAGGAACACCGAUGGCGAAGGCAGCCCCCUGGGUCAAGAUUGACGCUCAUGCACGAAAGCGUGGGGAGCAAACAGGAUUAGAAACCCUUGUAGUCCCA